UACGUAGGGGGCUAGCGUUGUCCGGAAUCAUUGGGCGUAAAGCGCGUGUAGGCGGUUCGGUAAGUCCGCUGUGAAAGUCGGGGGCUCAACCCUCGAAAGCCGGUGGAUACUGUCGGACUAGAGUGCGGAAGAGGCGAGUGGAAUUCCCGGUGUAGUGGUGAAAUGCGUAGAUAUCGGGAGGAACACCAGUGGCGAAGGCGACUACCUGGCCUGUUCUUGACGCUGAGGCGCGAAAGCUAGGGUAGCAAACGGG
rnacentral:rRNA from 1 species